GCAUAUCAAUAAGCGGAGGAAAAGAAACCAACAGGGAUUGCCUCAGUAACGGCGAGUGAAGCGGCAACAGCUCAAAUUUGAAAUCUGGCCUCACGGUCCGAGUUGUAAUUUGUAGAGGAUGCUUCGAGCAUGGUCUGGCCUAAGUUCCUUGGAACAGGACGUCAUAGAGGGUGAGAAUCCCGUAUGCGGCCAGGUGCCUACGCUCAUGUGAAGCUCCUUCGACGAGUCGAGUUGUUUGGGAAUGCAGCUCAAAAUGGGUGGUAAAUUUCAUCUAAAGCUAAAUAUUGGCCAGAGACCGAUAGCGCACAAGUAGAGUGAUCGAAAGAUGAAAAGCACUUUGGAAAGAGAGUUAAACAGUACGUGAAAUUGUUGAAAGGGAAGCGCUUGCAACCAGACUUGCGUGCGGCCGAUCAUCCGGUGUUCUCACCGGUGCACUCGGUCGCGCUCAGGCCAGCAUCGGUUUUGGUGGUUGGAUAAAGGCCCUAGGAAUGUAGCUUCUCUCGGGGAGUGUUAUAGCCUAGGGUGCAAUGCAGCCCACCGGGACCGAGGACCGCGCUUCGGCUAGGAUGCUGGCGUAAUGGUUGUAAGCGACCCGUCUUGAAACACGGACCAAGGAGUCUAACAUCUAUGCGAGUGUUUGGGUGUCAAACCCAUACGCGUAAUGAAAGUGAACGGAGGUGAGAACCCUUAAGGGUGCAUCAUCGACCGAUCCUGAUGUCUUCGGAUGGAUUUGAGUAAGAGCAUAGCUGUUGGGACCCGAAAGAUGGUGAACUAUGCCUGAAUAGGGUGAAGCCAGAGGAAACUCUGGUGGAGGCUCGCAGCGGUUCUGACGUGCAAAUCGAUCGUCAAAUUUGGGCAUAGGGGCGAAAGACUAAUCGAACCAUCUCGUAGCUGGU
rnacentral:rRNA from 1 species